rnacentral:rRNA from 1 species
UACGUAGGGGGCCAGCGUUGCUCGGAAUUACUGGGCGUAAAGGGUCCGUAGGCGGUGCGGCAAGUCGGAAGUGAAAUCUCUGGGCUUAACCCAGAGGCUGCUUCCGAAACUGCCGUGCUAGAGGAUGAGAGAGGCAAGUGGAAUUGCGGGUGUAGCGGUGAAAUGCGUAGAUAUCCGCAGGAACAUCCGAGGCGAAAGCGGCUUGCUGGAUCAUUUCUGACGCUGAGGGACGAAAGCUAGGGGAGCAAACAGG